UAGGCCAAAGCCCGCUGGAUAGGGCGUCUAGUUGUUAAUUAGAUACUUCCGGGAUCGAGCCCCGGUGGCCUAG
rnacentral:tRNA from 1 species